UUCUGUGUUGUUUAGCUCUUGACCAGCCGUAACUGUCAAGAUUUUGGUGCAUUGCGCAGCUGCUGGAUCCACCUGCACCUGGAGGUUUGUGCUGGCAUGACAGGUGAGCAGCCCUGGAAGUAGGGGAGACUAGGUUGCCUCUCUGGGCAGCUCUACAGGCACCAGCCACCCUGUGCUGCUGGGAAGAGCCCUGGGAACCAGCUGCGUUCUGCUGAACGGAAGGUUCCUCCUAUUUACUGGAUUUCAAUCUUAGCUGAACAAAAUGGGCUGACAGGGCAAGUGGAACACAGUCACCUGUCCCAGUAUGACAGAAGGAAGGAAAAGGUGCCUGUUGCAGAGGCCAGCACCGAGCCAAGGUGAUUUUAAUGAAUUCCCUAUUUUUUGUUUGGGUUUUUUUUCCCGUUUCCCACUUA